rnacentral:rRNA from 1 species
UGGGGAAUAUUGCACAAUGGAGGGAACUCUGAUGCAGCGACGCCGCGUGAGUGAUGAAGGAAUUCGUUUCGUAAAACUCUGUUCUAUGGGAAGAAAAGGACUGUACCAUAGGAGAAAGCUCCGGCUAAAUACGUGCCAGCAGCCGCGGUAAUACGUAUGGAGCGAGCGUUGUCCGGAAUUAUUGGGCGUAAAGGGUGCGCAGGCGGCUUUACAAGUUGGAUGUGAAAUAUUGUGGCUCAACCACAAACGUGCAUCCAAAACUGCAAAGCUUGAGUUAAGGGGAGGUAGGUGGAAUUCCUGGUGUAGCGGUGGAAUGCGUAGAUAUCAGGAGGAAUACCGGUGGCGAAGGCGGCUUACUGGGCUUAAACUGACGCUCAGGCACGAAAGCGUGGGGAGCAAACAGG